CCUACGGGAGACAGCAGUGAGGAAUAUUGGUCAAUGGACGAGAGUCUGAACCAGCCAAGUAGCGUGAAGGAUGACUGCCCUAUGGGUUGUAAACUUCUUUUAUAAAGGAAUAAAACGAGGCACGUGUGCCGGUUUGCAUGUAAUUUAUGAAUAAGGAACGGCUAACUCCGUGCCAGCAGCCGCGGUAAUACGGAGGAUCCGAGCGUUAACCGGAUUUAUUGGGUUUAAAGGGAGCGUCGAUGGGUUGUUAAGGCAGUUGUUAAAGUUUGCGGCUCAACCGUCAUAUUGCCAUUGAUACUGGCAGUCUUGAGUACAGUUGAGGUAGGCGGAAUUCGUGUUGUAGCGGUGA
rnacentral:rRNA from 1 species